CUCCUCUACAGCUGAGAUGACUGCAAGGCACUUCUAUUGAACUCAUCAGGACUACCAGAACAGUACUUGACUGUUAAUUGAAUCUUAUCCUUUAAGAAGCAUCUGUCUUCACAUAGGAGUUGUUUCCAACACAGAGUGCCCAGGUUACCAUUCUGCCUGCAUGCCUGCUUAAGGGAGUUUUGCAGAAUACUUCAACACAGAAGGCCACCAAACUACCGACAUACAAACUACCAACUUUACCCAACUGCUAGGAUACAGUCCAAGCAAAAGAAGUUGCUUUUCUCAAAGUGGCCUACAAAGAUUUAAAGUGCUGUCCCUCACCAUGGGGCACUAUUAAUCUGUCACAUCAAAGACUUUCUUUCGGCCCAGGAACUCCGAAUAAGCUUACCCACAGCUCGUGAGUGAUCUCACCCGGAUC